CCAAAAACAUCUCUCUUUGUAUAAUAUAAAUAAAGAGUUGGGCCUGCUCGGUGAAACGUUUUAACAGCUGCGGUAUUUUAACUGUACUAAGGUAGCAUAAUAAUUUGCCUUAUAAUUUGAGGCUAGAAUGAAUGGUUUGACGAAGGUUAAUCUGUCUCUGCUUUAUUUUUUAGAAAUUAAUUUUCAUAGUGAAAAAGCUUGAAUUUCUUAAGGGGACGAGAAGACCCUACUGAGCUUAUAAUUUUAUUAUCACAUAUAUUUAUGUAUAAUGUGCUAUAUAAAUUUUAAUUGGGGUGAUUAAGGAAUAAUAUAGCUAUUUUAUAACUUCCUUAGAUAUUAUAUUGUUGAAUUAAGUAACCGAUUAAUUAAUAGAAUUGUAUUAUGUAUUGCUUAUAAUAUAGUUACCAUAGGGAUAACAGCGUAAUUUACUUAGAGAGUUCUUAUUGAAAAGUAUGAUUGCGACCUCGAUGUUGGAUUAUAAGUUACCUU
rnacentral:rRNA from 1 species